UCAGAAGAGGACAGUAUUGAUGUAACAGUGGACAGAUUUGAUCCAGGCAGAGAAGUUGUGGUCAAACAGGGUACUGGAAAAGUCAAAAGGAAAGUUCCCACUACAGUUGUUCCUGGAGACCAAAUUGUGCCUAUAACUUUAAUCCAAGGUCUGAGUGGUGCUGAGAACUCUGUAACACACACAGUUGAAGAAUUUCAGAGAGCAUUUCAGG